ACAUAUACAUAUAUAGUAUGUAUAUGUGUGUGUGUGUGUGUGUGUGUGUAUAUAUAUAUAUACACACAUA
rnacentral:miRNA from 1 species